rnacentral:rRNA from 1 species
CUACGGGUGGCAGCAGUGGGGAAUAUUGCACAAUGGGCGCAAGCCUGAUGCAGCCAUGCCGCGUGUAUGAAGAAGGCCUUCGGGUUGUAAAGUACUUUCAGCGGGGAGGAAGGGAGUAAAGUUAAUACCUUUGCUCAUUGACGUUACCCGCAGAAGAAGCACCGGCUAACUCCGUGCCAGCAGCCGCGGUAAUGCGGAGGGUGCAAGCGUUAAUCGGAAUUACUGGGCGUAAAGCGCACGCAGGCGGGUUGUUAAGUCAGAUGUGAAAUCCCCGGGCUCAACCUGGGAACUGCAUCUGAUACUGGCAAGCUUGAGUCUCGUAGAGGGGGGUAGAAUUCCAGGUGUAGCGGUGAAAUGCGUAGAGAUCUGGAGGAAUACCGGUGGCGAAGGCGGCCCCCUGGACGAAGACUGACGCUCAGGUGCGAAAGCGUGGGGAGCAAACAGGAUUAGAUACCCUAGUAGUC